rnacentral:rRNA from 1 species
UUGCACAAUGGGCGCAAGCCUGAUGCAGCGACGCCGCGUGUGGGAUGAAGGGGCUACGCCUCGUAAACCACUGUAGACCGGGACGAAAAACGCCUUAGAGGCGUUAGACGGUACCGGGAAAGUAAGGGUCGGCUAACUACGUGCCAGCAGCCGCGGUAAUACGUAGGACCCAAGCGUUGUCCGGAUUUACUGGGUGUAAAGGGUGCGCAGGCGGAUGGGUAAGUCAGGGGUGAAAGUCUGCAGCUUAACUGUAGAAGUGCCAUUGAUACUGCUCAUCUUGAGUGUGGGUGAGGUUGAUGGAAUUCCAGGUGUAGCAGUGAAAUGCGUAGAUAUCUGGAAGAACACCAGUGGCGAAGGCGGUCAACUGGCCCAUAACUGACGCGCAUGCACGAAAGCGUGGGGAGCAAACA